rnacentral:rRNA from 1 species
CACGUAGGGUGCAAGCGUUGUCCGGAAUUAUUGGGCGUAAAGAGCUCGUAGGCGGUCUGUCGCGUCUGCUGUGAAAACUCAGGGCUUAACCCUGAGCUUGCAGUGGGUACGGGCAGACUAGAGUGCGGUAGGGGAGACUGGAAUUCCUGGUGUAGCGGUGAAAUGCGUAGAUAUCUGGAGGAACACCGGUGGCGAAGGCGGCAUCCUGGACCGGCAUUGACGCUGAGGCGCGAAAGCCAGGGGAGCAAACGGG